CAGGGGAGGGGAGGAGACACACACACAGAGAGAGAGAGUAAAGGAGUAUAGUAAGAUACGAACGUCCAGCAGCCGCAUGCGGGGCCGGUACCGCGCCAGCGCCGUUUUGAACUCGACCUAGGCGAGGAGCAUAUCGAACGUACGGUCGCAGGUGAACAUGAGGAAGGGGAACCUCCCGCUGGGGAGCGGCCGCGGCAGCCGGUCCAAGAGACUGCUCCAGGUGCACACGUGCGCGGCGCGCUACCUGCAGCUGUAGUCCCCUGAGAGGGAGGGCAGGCGCAGGAGUUGGAGGCCGAAAAGGACGCCGAGACUGCGUCCGACGACGUGUAGGAGAACCACCAGAACAGGCAGUCGAACGUCCAGAAGCGACGUAAGAAGCCGGUGGAAGCUGAGGUGGGUACGAAAGCCAGUCUAAGUAAAGCUCCUUCCACCAGAAGUGAGACAAAAACCAGCGUUCUAAGUAAGAGUUAACGUACGGAAGAAACUGUGGGAAAGACGUUUAUCUAAUAAAGGUGUCCUAACGGGAGCUAAAGUAGCUCUUGAGGGAAGUCUAAGGG
rnacentral:rRNA from 1 species